rnacentral:rRNA from 1 species
AGUCGAGCGGUAGCACAAGAGAGCUUGCUCUCUGGGUGACGAGCGGCGGACGGGUGAGUAAUGUCUGGGAAACUGCCUGAUGGAGGGGGAUAACUACUGGAAACGGUAGCUAAUACCGCAUGACGUCUUCGGACCAAAGUGGGGGACCUUCGGGCCUCACGCCAUCAGAUGUGCCCAGAUGGGAUUAGCUAGUAGGUGGGGUAAUGGCUCACCUAGGCGACGAUCUCUAGCUGGUCUGAGAGGAUGACCAGCCACACUGGAACUGAGACACGGUCCAGACUCCUACGGGAGGCAGCAGUGGGGAAUAUUGCACAAUGGGCGCAAGCCUGAUGCAGCCAUGCCGCGUGUAUGAAGAAGGCCUUCGGGUUGUAAAGUACUUUCAGCGAGGAGGAAGGCAUUGUGGUUAAUAACCACAGUGAUUGACGUUACUCGCAGAAGAAGCACCGGCUAACUCCGUGCCAGCAGCCGCGGUAAUACGGAGGGUGCAAGCGUUAAUCGGAAUUACUGGGCGUAAAGCGCACGCAGGCGGUUGAUUAAGUCAGAUGUGAAAUCCCCGAGCUUAACUUGGGAACUGCAUUUGAAACUGGUCAGCUAGAGUCUUGUAGAGGGGGGUAGAAUUCCAGGUGUAGCGGUGAAAUGCGUAGAGAUCUGGAGGAAUACCGGUGGCGAAGGCGGCCCCCUGGACAAAGACUGACGCUCAGGUGCGAAAGCGUGGGGAGCAAACAGGAUUAGAUAUCCUGGUAGUCCACGCUGUAAACGAUGUCGACUUGGAGGUUGUGCCCUUGAGGCGUGGCUUCCGGAGCUAACGCGUUAA